UACAGAGGUCUCAAGCGUUGUUCGGAUUCAUUGGGCGUAAAGGGUGCGUAGGCGGCGCGGUAAGUCGGGUGUGAAAUCUCGGAGCUUAACUCCGAAACUGCAUUCGAUACUGCCGUGCUUGAGGACUGGAGAGGAGACUGGAAUUUACGGUGUAGCGGUGAAAUGCGUAGAUAUCGUAAGGAAGACCAGGUGGCGAAGGCGGGUCUCUGGACAGUUCCUGACGCUGAGGCACGAAGGUCAGGGGAGCAAACGGG
rnacentral:rRNA from 1 species